CGGAGGGUGCAAGCGUUGUCCGGGAUUUAUUGGGUUUAAAGGGUGCGUAGGCGGCCUAAUAAGUCAGUGGUGAAAGCCUCCAGCUUAACUGGAGAACUGCCAUUGAUACUGUUAGGCUUGAGUAUACUUGAGGUAGGCGGAAUUGACAGUGUAGCGGUGAAAUGCAUAGAUAUUGUCAAGAACACCAAUUGCGAAGGCAGCUUACUAAAUUAUAACUGACGCUGAGGCACGAAAGUGUGGGUAUCAAACAGGAUU
rnacentral:rRNA from 1 species